UGUAGAGGGUGCUAGUCCCACUUCCUCUAGCAGUAACUUCUAGGAAGCCGACUGAGCAAGCCCUGUGAAGUUUCUUGGAUUCCAUUUUGUGGCCUGAAGGAGAGACUCUUGAAAGUGUGACAGCAAUUCAGCAGAGAGGACAACUAGCAAGUUUAGGACCUGUGCUUUUUAGGAUCUCUUCAUCUACAUUUUUUUCUACUGCCUCCAGCAAGGGUCAUCAUGACUCCCUAUGAAGGUUGUUCAUGUCUCAGCCUUGAACAAGAUUUUCUGGACCCAGUUAAAUCACAGGAUGAGGUUAUUUUACUGAUUCCCUUGGAUGAUUUGGAAGAUGGUGUGGAAGAAAUAAUAGAAAUAUAUGAAGAAAUAGGGGAUAAUGAUGAAGAGGAUGGUGAAGAUGAGGAAGAAGAAGAAACAGAUGGUAUUGAGCAUGAGGAGUAGAAUUGAGAAAUAAAAAAGAAGGAGGGGAGGAGGAAGAGGAGGAGAAAAAGAAGAAAGGGAAGAGGAUAAACGGGAGGAGGACAUGGAAAAGGAGAAUCAAAUAUCUCCUUGCCUUCAAUUUAUAUUCCUCCUCUUAUUCUCCUCUUUCUCCUUUCUUGUCCUUAUCCUUUCUUGUUCUCUUCUCUGAACCAGGGCAUGCUCACUGGGGGUUUUGUUGGGGUAGAUAAAUGUUACUCCUUGAAAUACAAUGUUUAUUAGUUUUAGUUUUGCCAUCUACUAUUUUCUUCAGAAAAUAUUUUGGAAAAACUAUGUGAUGUUUUAGGAUUCCUUUAAAUAUU